rnacentral:rRNA from 1 species
UAUACGCUGGCGGCAGGCCUAUCACAUGCACGUCGUACCAAGGUAACCGUAAGCUUGCUCCUUUGCUGACGAGUGGCGGACGGGUGAGUAAUGUCUGGGAAACUGCCUGAUGGAGGGGGAUAACUACUGGAAACGGUAGCUAAUACCGCAUAACGUCGCAAGACCAAAGAGGGGGACCUUCGGGCCUCUUGCCAUCAGAUGUGCCCAGAUGGGAUUAGCUAGUAGGUGGGGUAACGGCUCACCUAGGCGACGAUCCCUAGCUGGUCUGAGAGGAUGACCAGCCACACUGGAACUGAGACACGGUCCAAACUCCUACGGGAGGCAGCAGUGGGGAAUAUUGCACAAUGGGCGCAAGCCUGAUGCAGCCAUGCCGCGUGUAUGAAGAAGGCCUUCGGGUUGUAAAGUACUUUCAGCGGGGAGGAAGGCGGUGAGGUUAAUAACCUCCCCGAUUGACGUUACCCGCAGAAGAAGCACCGGCUAACUCCGUGCCAGCAGCCGCGGUAAUACGGAGGGUGCAAGCGUUAAUCGGAAUUACUGGGCGUAAAGCGCACGCAGGCGGUCUGUCAAGUCGGAUGUGAAUCCCCCGGGCUCAACCUGGGAACU